AACAUGCAGAACCUAGGACUAUCAACCUAACAGGAUGAUACCUUCUUUUUCUUUUUCUUUUUUUCCCUGACAAGAACAGGAUCAUACUUGAAAUGACUAUAAGAUACAGAGAGACAGACUGAGUUAGAUAACAUUACACUUUUAAAGGGGGAAUACAUCUAGCUUAUUAAAAAACAAAUGCAAUCAUCAAUUUGAAGUGCAGCAUGAGAGCAUUAUUCAAUUUCAGAUGGCUGAGAAGGUGCAAUAUCAGGCUUUCAAGGAUUCUCCAGCUUUCACCAAAUCUUCAAGUGCCUUGGAGAUCUGUGCCUCCGACAAGCCUUCCAGUUUGAUUCCUUUCUCAACACCAAAAUCUAAUAUAAAGCAACAAAUUACAAAAGAAACGAGGGCUCAACUACGCAGAUAAUUAUUUCAAAAUAAAAAAAAAUUAAAAAAGAUCAUAUUAGAAGAAAGUAUCAAAGGCUCACUAAUGAUAGAUAUCAUGACAGUAAAUAUGCAGUGUAAUUAACGUGAAAUAUGUGGAUUUAUUUCUUAUACACAUUUUAUGUCAGUGAAAUCCUUAAGCACUCUUCAAGGUCCUCCAAAAUCUGUAAAUAAUGGUAGGAAUUUGUUAUCUUUAUCCCGUUUCUGAGUUAUUAUUAUUAUUAUUAUUAUUAUUAUUAUUAUUAUUAUUCACACAAGGUAUUAAGAUGUCUUUGUAUUGAAUUGUCAGACUCUUCAUUAGUUCUUAUUUGUGGUGCACAAUUUGGUGGAAUGCGAGGAGACAAUGUAUGGUAAUUAUAUCAACUAGGAUGUUAUUGUCAAGAUCCCCUUUUAGUACAACAACAACAACAACAACAACAACAACAACAACAACAACAACAACAACAACAACAACAACAACAACAACAACAACAACAACAACAACAACAACAACAACAACAACAACAACAAAGUCUUAUCCACUAGGUGGGGUCAAUUAGAUGGAUCAAAUGAUGUCAUUGUGCCUUAUAUCACAGUUAUAGUGAGACUUUUUACACAUCAAUCUCCUUUAACCACCUUGUGUAUGGUCUUCUUUUAGUACGAUUAAACAUUUUCAAGAAUUUAGUAUGCAAUAGCAAGAAAGAAGAAGAAAUAAUGAGAGGUGAGAAUAAAAGGCAGUAAGCAACUAAAGAAAGAUGGAGUAGUUAAUGGGAAAGUGGGAACAUUAGUAGGGAAAACAUGGAACAUGAGUGGCUAAGGCAGUGAAAGUAAACUGCAAAUGAGUAAUCUUAAAUUUUUUACCCCAGCAAAAAUUUGUUAAUCAAAUUGCUGAAAGGAUGCAAAGGGAAUCAAUAUUUGGAGGCCUUUCAAUGUUACUAAUUUUUUAAGAUUAUCAAUUUUAUUUUGGAACAAGUAUCUACGAGCCACUAGAAUGUGUUCCAACAUCACAGAGCGCUAGAGGUUGAAGAUCAACAAGGCAAAUACUAAAGAAAGAGAAAAGAAAUCAUAACCUGCAUAAGAUUCUUGACUCCUACCAAAUAUAAACCUUGUUCACUUAAGGCUUUUCCAAGUGUAUAAAUAUAAAGACUAGAAAAGCAUCCCAUCAAAAGGGGUACAUUCAAACAAUAAGACUAAAGACAAAACACUAAGAACUUGUACUAGAAAACCCAAGACCGGAGGUUUUCGUUCUUCACAUACAACAACGGUUUUUACACUAAUCUCCAUUUUCCCUUAAAGAGACUCUACUACUUGAACCUAUCUUCUUAAUACAUCGUGGUCAAAUAACAACACGUUUUUCAGUGUCUCUCUCACUCUCUCUUAAACUCUUACUUCUUUCUUUAACUAAAUUAAUACUAGACAUCCAAAGAAAAUGUGACUUUACCUGUUUAUAAAUAUUAUUCAACGAAAUCAAAGAUAUUAUAAAUGUACAUAUAAUUUAAAAUUAUUAAAAUAAUAUAUAAAUGAAUUUUGCCAAAUUGGUGCCAAGUUGGGGCCAACUUGAUAACUUGGUAAUUUGGCCAGUGAACUGGCCAAGUUACUGGCCAAGCUAAGAGCGUUGGAACCACGAUCCAUUUGUUAUUGAUAGAACUUGUUGUAUUUGUUAGUGGUUAGUUUAUUUUUAUGUGAUAUGGGAUUAAAUUACGAUGAUUAAUUUCAAUUCUAAUUAAAUGAGAAAAUUGGGAUAAUUAAGUGUAAUAAGUGUGUAAUAAGUUUUUAUAACAAGCAAUGGAUAUGAAAAGACAAACAAAAAUCCCUGUCCUGUAACUUUAUCUUUAAGCCUAUAUAUUUAAACACAAAUUCCGAGUUUUCACUUAUAAGAAAUAAUAAAAAUUAAAAUUUUUUAUGUUACGUAGUUAUUGUUUAAGACUAAUAGUAUAAAGUUAUUUAUUGUAUAAUGUGGUAAAUUUAGCUCUGUCAUAAACAAACAUCUUUUCAGUUUUAUGAGUUAUUUUUAUGUUUAUAUUAGUUAAAGCAAAAUCUUUUUAGUGUAUUUUUACGACAAAUAAAAUAAAAUAUGAUUAUAAAAUAAGAUACGAAAAUAAAUAAUUUAAACGUUUCAAUAUUAUGGUUUAUAUUUACAGUACCUUUACUGUUCAGAUGGGAGGACAAUCGAAACCAAGAAGUGGGUUUUCACUUGGCUUGUGAACUUGUCAUAGGUAGUGAAGCACCGAAGAAUGCGUUGUUGCGGUAAGUUUGAAACACUAAUGUAAGUCCAUUUGAUUAAUGUGUAAUUGACAAGUUUUAAAACCAAACUAAAAGAAUAACAUAUGUAUGUACAGAUUAGAUUUUGGGAGGAAGAACUAUGACUAUAGUUCAGUGUUCCAUCUGUAAAAGCCUUGGAUCUCCUAAACUAUGUCCCAAAACGUUAUACUAUUCUUAAUUACAGUAAAAGUAUGACUAAAAGUUUCUAAAGAAUCGAUAUUAAAGAAAUAGACAUUAAAAAAAACAGAUAUUAAAAAAGAGUAAUAUCAAACACCUCUACGACGAAGUAAAAUAAAAAAGAAGGGACCUAGUCAUGUAAGGUUAAAAAGCGACAUUAACAAGAAGUUUUUAAUCAUAACACAUCUUCAUAGGUUAAAAUGGAACCUAGACAACAACAUUCAGAAGGGUUCAUAAAUACAUAAAAAAUACUUUAAAAAUAGUACCAAGAAUAAAUACUAAAAUAACUUAAAGUUCCUAUAAGACGUUAGUCCCACAUCCAUAUCCCAACAUGAAAACAUUAUACUAACCUUAUACGUCAAAGAUAAAAGAAGAAAGUUCAAAAAAUUUAAGAUCAUUUAUUCACCGGUUUAAAACCCGUCAUCUUGAAGACGAUCUAGUAUAACGAGUCAUAACGAACAAAUAACCUUCUUUUGAGUUAUCAUCAACUCGACUUUUACUAUUAUUAGUACUUUAGAAUUGGGCUCAAAUCAAUCAACAACAGACCCACUUACGAACCCCCAAGUCUGUUAAAUUUUAAGAGAACGAAAACCUUGAAAACAAAAACUCUAGUCAGAAGUAUUAUAACCGUACAUCUGAAAAUAUAGAUACACGUUACUUUCUUGUAACGUUCAUACAAAGGUUGAAGGUUCAUCAUCUUAAAACACAUAUGAAAACCCCGGAAAAUUAACUAACAGUUAAUAAACAUCGAAUCGUAACGUUGAAACCCGUCAAGACGGACAUAAUCAAAUAGAAUGUAACACAAACAACCCAAAAUCAAAAUGGAGGGAAGAAAUAACGGAGCACUACUCCUUUUUAGACUUUAUUUAAUAAUUUAACUCGAUCCCUUCGUUACCGUACCUCUCCUGUAGAAAGUUUCUUGUAUUCCCUCGAAUCCAAAAACUACACGGUCAGCAGCGGACGUUCGAGUGGACGUUCCAAUAUAAAUAUAAGUGAAAAAAAAACCCCCUUUUAUAGUGGCGAAAUAAUAAAUGUAUAGAAUCACACUAAACUAAUGAAUGUAGAAUAUCUAUCCACUCAUAGUUAAUUACAACAAAAAAAGUAAUAGAAUCCUGUAAACACCUUUUCUUGAUAUUCCUUGAGUUCUGAAACUUGGGCUUUAACGGUUAUGACUAGGCACUUACGUCACCUCGCCUUGGGGUUGAUACCCGUUCUAUACCAUAGUGGUAGAUUCAGGGCAAGAAUAGACAAAUUAGACUUAAACAGUGGUAUAAUAAUUAUUUUUAAUUAAAACUGAAAAUCUUAUUAUACAUUGCAUCGUUCGUAUAGAUCCUACUUUACUUACUUUUGUUUACUUUGUCAUCUUAGGUGUGACUUGUCGGAUAAUGUUAAUCGUUACUAGAAGUAACAACGACUAAAGAAGGAAGGUAUAGUACCCUCUGUGUUAAAAAUUCUUAAACUAUCUAGUCUACCUAACCUAUCGUCGUCUUGUAAGGCCACUUACUUGACGGAGGUAAAUCAACCGUGAGUACACCAGUAAAGAGGAACGCAGGGUUAAAUGCAUAGAAUACUACGCACCGGAUGAACUAAUUGAUCGACAACCAAAUGAGUCGUGAGAUCGACUCAUUCGAGUAAGGACGUUUGACCAAGGGUUCAACGUUUCACGGGAGGAAGGAUAGUAAACCUGUAUUACAUAUUGAUGUAAACUCUCUCUUAUUAAAAUACCCCACUCAAAAUGUAGAAAAUUUUUGACUCUACGAGAUUAAAAACCGUUUGACAACUAUAUUUUGUUUUAUUUAAACGUAGAAGGAUCAACGUUUUAGAUAGGGACAAUACUUUAAUAUGUAAAAACGAGUUUCUUUUUAUGGUAUAUUUGUUAACGACUUUCUUUUAUGUUAUAACAAAAGAAAAGAAUUUAUAACUAGUUGUUGAUAUUUAGGAAUAGGUGAUACACCCACAGUUGACGUACCUAGUCUGUCACGUCAAUGUGGGACAGUACUUAGUAUAUGCCUUAGUCGAAUAAAAACGAGUCUAAAAAAGGCUAGUGGAAUAAGUAUCAGAGAAAUCCAGAAAGAGACAGGGAUUGAUUCCAUCGAUAGAGAGUAGAACAGAUANNNNNNNNNNNNNNNNNNNNNNNNNCUUCCAAGCAUCUCCGUGUGACAGGUGGGUUAUAAAACCAUCAUCUCUCUUGUUUUUACUAUGCCAAGUCAUGUGAGGGAUGAAAUUCAUUGAUGCAUACAAUCAUUUUAGCCUAGGGAUUAGGGAUAAGUACUGUAUCCAUUUGUUUGGAAUUCUCUUUUCCCGCCGUUUACCAAUCCAUUCUCUUUCGACCUAAAAUCUUGGUGCAUCACAAAAUCUACAAGCAGUUAGGUCGUUGUCCGCCUUGUCCUCAUCUGGAUACGAAGAGAUUUCUAGGAGAUCCUUCCUUCCAUCAUGCUGAGUUAGGUAGCAUCCGACCUCUUUUUUUUCUGGUAGUUUUCUUCUAUUGUCUGUGAAUUUAUCUUUUUCCUUCUGUGUAAUUGUUAGGAUUACAAGAAUCUUAGGGAGUUGGUAAUUGUAAUUUCUCUGAAAUUAUAAAAAAAAUUCUAUCAUUGUUAUGGUGGAGACUGGAUAUAGACCACAUUAUAUUAAGUGGUUGAACUAGGAUAUAUAGUGAUGCAAGCUCUUCUUCUAUGCUCUAACUUUUAUAUCGUCGUUAUGAGAUAAAAAUAAUUGUCUUUUACAAAAUUAUUUUAAUAAAUACUGUAGUAACAAAUCCUCGAAUCUGUUUUAGUAUUUCUUUUAAAAGAUGUCAUAAAUUUAACUCCCUUCUUUAGGUUAUUAAAAAAUUUCAAUUCGUAUUAAGAGACAAAGUCUCAAGUAUCCAGUGUAACAACUUGGAUGAAAGAUCCAAAUGGCCAACAUGAAAUCAAAUGUGGUAACUUACACAUUUAUCGAAGAGCAAUCCAAUAAAAAACCUCCAUCUUUAAUAGCAAAAAUCGCACCUAUUAAAAGAAAAGAAUAAAGAUAUUUGUAUAGUUCGUGAAUUAUGACAAUUAGAAGAUAAUCAUGAAUGUUUCAGACAUUUCAAAGAAGACAAACAACAAAGGAGAUAUGGUUCAUAAAAAAGAGAAUAAGUGGGCUGAUAAAAAUAAGAAAAAAAGUGGAGCUCAAUGCAAAGACAAUCAACAUACUACUCUAUGCUAUUAAUUUUGAGAAAUUUCAAAAAGUUUCAAAAUGUGAAAAAAAAUAGUAUAUAAACUUUUAAAUCUAACUAAAUAUAUUUUUAUAAAUUAUAAAGUUCAAAUUUUAAAUUCAAAACCAUUUAUAUAAAAAAUAUAAUAAACAGAGAAUUAUUUUUUUUAAUUAAUAAAAAAUACAAUAUUUUUUAUUUAAUAAAAAAUAUUUAAGAAUAAUUUUUUUCAUAUUUUAAAAAAAAAAUAUUAGUUGAUUUUUUUUCCUUUAUCCCCCUCCCCACCUUUUUAUUUUUUGGAAGGAGUUUAGGGAAAUUAGUUAAUAAAAAUAACCAAGUCAAAAAGUCCCAACAGAGAAAAAUGAAAAAUUCAAGAAAACAAAAUAUAAAGCAGUUUACACGAACCAUUAAGAAAAUGACUUAAGGCAAUACUAAAAUUUUGCACAAAAAGUUGCGAAUAUUUAGAAUGUUUUUUCCAAAAAUAUAAAUUGGUCCAUGCCUUGUUACACCAGAUUAUUUGACUUGAUCAAUACCAAAAUUCUUUGGCAAUGUAGUCCAAAAUGAAUACAUGAAAAUUUAAAUCUGAGUUCUUAAUAAAUCUUCCAUCACAGGUGUGCUCAACAUGCAGAACCUAGGACUAUCAACCUAACAGGAUGAUACCUUCUUUUUCUUUUUCUUUUUUUCCCUGACAAGAACAGGAUCAUACUUGAAAUGACUAUAAGAUACAGAGAGACAGACUGAGUUAGAUAACAUUACACUUUUAAAGGGGGAAUACAUCUAGUUUAUUAAAAAACAAAUGCAAUCUUCAAUUAGAAGUGCAGCAUGAGAGCAUUAUUCAAUUUCAGAUGGCUGAGAAGGUGCAAUAUCAGGCUUUCAAGGACUUUCCAGCUUUCACCAAAUCUUCAAGUGCCUUGGAGAUCUGUGCCUCCGACAAGCCUUCCAGUUUGAUUCCUUUCUCAACACCAAAAUCU
rnacentral:lncRNA from 1 species